rnacentral:rRNA from 1 species
UACGUAGGGUGCAAGCGUUAAUCGGAAUUACUGGGCGUAAAGCGUGCGCAGGCGGUUUUGGAAGUCAGAUGUGAAAUCCCCGGGCUUAACCUGGGAACUGCGUUUGAAACUACAAGGCUAGAGUGUGACAGAGGGGGGUGGAAUUCCACGUGUAGCAGUGAAAUGCGUAGAGAUGUGGAGGAAUACCGAUGGCGAAGGCAGCCCCCUGGGUCAAUACUGACGCUCAUGCACGAAAGCGUGGGGAGCAAACAGG